UUAGGAAUCUUCCACAAUGGGCGAAAGCCUGAUGGAGCGACACCGCGUGAAGGAUGAAGGCCUUAGGGUCGUAAACUUCUAAAAGAGGGACGAUAAUGACGGUACCUCUUGAGAAGCACCGGCUAACUCCGUGCCAGCAGCCGCGGUAAUACGGAGGGUGCAAGCGUUAUCCGGAAUCACUGGGCGUAAAGGGCGCGUAGGCGGUCUGUUAAGUCUGGCGUUAAAGCCUGGGGCUCAACCCCAGAUCAGCGUUGGAUACUGGCAGGCUAGACGGUUGGAGAGGCGAGUGGAAUUACCAGUGUAGCGGUGGAAUGCGUAGAUACUGGUAGGAACACCCAUUGCGAAGGCAGCUCGCUGGACAACACGUGACGCUGAGGCGCGAAAGUGUGGGGAGCAAACCGG
rnacentral:rRNA from 1 species